rnacentral:rRNA from 1 species
GCAGUCGAGCGAAUGGAUUAAGAGCUUGCUCUUAUGAAGUUAGCGGCGGACGGGUGAGUAACACGUGGGUAACCUGCCCAUAAGACUGGGAUAACUCCGGGAAACCGGGGCUAAUACCGGAUAACAUUUUGAACCGCAUGGUUCGAAAUUGAAAGGCGGCUUCGGCUGUCACUUAUGGAUGGACCCGCGUCGCAUUAGCUAGUUGGUGAGGUAACGGCUCACCAAGGCAACGAUGCGUAGCCGACCUGAGAGGGUGAUCGGCCACACUGGGACUGAGACACGGCCCAGACUCCUACGGGAGGCAGCAGUAGGGAAUCUUCCGCAAUGGACGAAAGUCUGACGGAGCAACGCCGCGUGAGUGAUGAAGGCUUUCGGGUCGUAAAACUCUGUUGUUAGGGAAGAACAAGUGCUAGUUGAAUAAGCUGGCACCUUGACGGUACCUAACCAGAAAGCCACGGCUAACUACGUGCCAGCAGCCGCGGUAAUACGUAGGUGGCAAGCGUUAUCCGGAAUUAUUGGGCGUAAAGCGCGCGCAGGUGGUUUCUUAAGUCUGAUGUGAAAGCCCACGGCUCAACCGUGGAGGGUCAUUGGAAACUGGGAGACUUGAGUGCAGAAGAGGAAAGUGGAAUUCCAUGUGUAGCGGUGAAAUGCGUAGAGAUAUGGGAGGGAACACCAGUGGGCGAAGGCGACUUUCUGGUCUGUAACUGACACUGAAG